UGGACAGAGGAGCCUGGUGGGCUACAGUCCACGGGGUCACAAAAGAGUCAGAAACAACUUAGUAACUGAACAACAACAAAUGUCUGUAAUUUUUAUGUCUUCCUUUAAAGGGAUACCACAAAACAAGUCCCUUCAGAGCCUGACAUCUUGAUUUCGCUGACCCUCCUCAUUUUUAAAUACAGACAAUUCAACCUGGACCUGGGGUAAGGUGAGCAGAAACUGGAUUCGAGUGAAUGUUGAGUGAAGAAAAGUGGAUGGCUUAACUCAGAUGUCCUAGAUCAACCCCAGGAAAACGAAAACCGUGCAGGUGCCAGAAACAACACAUCUUCCACAAAGAAUACUGAGAUUCCUUCUGCUUUGCCUGAUCCAGAGUUCACCAUGAUCCCCUCCAAGACAAGACACAGGCCAUUCCACAGGUUGGUGUCUUUGCUUUCUUUUUCUUUUAUAUAUUGCCUUUUUUAAUUUUUUUAAACAAAUGCAAAACAAACAAAAAAAUCUAAGCACAAUGCAGGUAUAGUUAAAACUCAACAUAAUGAUGGUCUAAAGUGUAAAAGGAUACAGUUACCAAAAAAGGAAGAGUGACACUUUUGAGGUCUACCAGACAGCGUUAUAUUCUAGUUUAUCUCUUAUGGUGACUUUGAGAUUACAGCCACAAAAACAGAAACUCAGAGAAUCAAAGUAACUUCCUUAAGAUCACAGAAUAAGUGACACAAAUGUAAAAGUUGGUCUCUAUCAUUCAGCAAUAUUAAUAUUUAUUAGCUUGUCAGAAUAAUCUGUUUAUUUUCAGAUCUAAGACUUUAACUAGAACAUGAAAAAUUGGAAAGAAAACAAUAAAAAUUAUAAAAUAAAAAUCAUAAAUCCAAAUAUAAUUCUAAAGAUUAAAGAAGCAGUACAAUGUUGGCACAUAUAUACUAUGACUGAAAGAUACAGGUAGAGAAAUAAAAAGGUAGGCACAGAUGAAAGAAUGCAUGUACUUGAUUUGCCACUAUUUUGACGGCUAUGUGAGUUUAUUUUUCAGGUCACAGUAAGCAGCUUUCCUCCACAUUUAAUAACAGAAACAAGCUACCUGGAGGUCAUGGAACCUCUUUCCCAAUAAACUCCUUAAAAAUUACUUUGAUAACACAUUUUAACAGAAGAGGUAAUUUGACAUGCAUCUAGAUAUAAAAAUACUUUUAUAUGUUAAACUUUUUAUUUGAUAUUUAUGUAUAGUGCAAAAUUAUUAUAAUAAGUCUAGUUAAUAUCCUUCACCAUACAAAAAAAUCUUUUUUCUGAGGUGAGGACUUUUAAGGUUUACUCUUAGCAACUUUUAAAUAUGCAGUUCAAUACUGCUAACUAUAUGACCCUGCUGUACCUUACAUCCCCAGCAGUUAUUUAUUUUAUAGCUAGAAGUUUGUACCUUCUGCUUCCACCCAUUUUGCCCAUCUCCCAACCACUUCACCUCUGGCAAUCACCAGUCUUGCUCUGUUAUCUGUGAACUUGGUUUUUGUUUUUUUAAAAUAAUAACUUUAAAUGAGUCCUUCCACCUCAGUGUUUCCAUGAUUUGUGGGAAACAACACAUUUUAAACAACUACAGCAAAUAUUUACUACUUAAAGCCAAUUCUGCUUAUACCUUUAUUCCCAUGAAGGAUAUGGGACCACCUUAUUUUUAAUUUUAUGCCUCAGAAUAUCCCUGAUGUUUUCCGUGGGCUGAAUUUGUCACUAUUAAGUUAGCAAACAAUAAAUUUUGUAUAAAAACAGAGCAUCAAAUUAUGAUAAAAGCAAACUAUUGAUACUGAAUAAGUAUGUCCUCAUUUCUGUAGAAGGUAGAGGAAAUAUUUAUAUUCUUUCAUAAUCAAAAGAGGAUUGCAAAGAACUUUCUUAAUUAUAAAGCAGUACAGAAUCAGGUAAUCCUGGAUUUAUGUAAAUGGCAUAAUGAUAUAGUUUCUGCUCCUGCAAGAAGGCAUUGUUACUAAACCAAAAUUGGGUAUUUAAACACAAAAUGUGAGAUUAACUUAGUCAUGCCUUUCAUGUCCUACUCACUAGUACUGACUGUUAUGGUCCUAACUACUAGGAGAAACAUACAUACACACACACACACACAUAUACACAUGCACCACAGCACAUGUGUCUGCCACCAGUAACCAUGUAGCUUGGUAGAGCUGAAGCGGUGUCUUUUCAUUCUUAGACCCAUGGACCAAAUACUAAUGCUCAGUGGUGCUGCAGACACAAAGUUUCUCCAUACAAGGAAUCUGCUCUCUAGAUGCAUAAUUAAAAAGAAAUAAUCACCUAGAUUUUCCACUUAAAUUUCUUUCAGUAAGACACAAUGAAGAGGCCUUGUUUGACCAACCUUUUUUUAACUAAUCUUAAUUAUACUUAUCCAGGGCGGACACCAACAACUUUUGAUUAGUAAAAACACGUGUAACAGGAAAUGAAGAUAUUAGUCAAUGGGUACAAAGUUUCGGUUGUACCAGAUGAAUAAGUUCUACAGACUGAUGUGUAGCAUAAAGCUUAUACUUACCAACUCUGUACUGUAUACUUUAAAUUUUAUUAAGAGGGUAAGUCUUACGUUAAGUGUUCUUGUCACAUGCACAAAGUAACAGUAAUAAAGAGUGUACGAGGAAACUUUUGAAGGUGACACAUAAGUUUAUGGUAUAGAUUAUGAUAAUGGUUUCAUGGGUUUAGACUUAUCUCAAACUCAUCAAGUGGUAUAUAUUAAUUAUGUACAACUUUUUGUAUGUAAAAAAAUUUUUAAUAUAUAAUAAACCCUUAGUCCAACCCUUUUGACAAUAUUUUUCCGUAUCUUCCCCUUCUUCUCAGUUGUUAUAAACUGCUAUGGAUUCUUCCUCAGAAGAUAUUUAUGGCUACUAGUGGUUGAAAUCUAAGCUGAUUUUCUAACUAGCCACUCUUUCUGUACACACUUUUGUGGGCCCUCUUUGUGUUGGUCUUUGAAUAUUCUUUCAACUUGCAAACUAACAACAAAGGCAUAUGUUGUCGGGAUGACAUAAGGCCUUCUAUUCUAGGGAUCAAAGACUCUCCCAGGGCUUCCAGAACAAGCCAAUGUACGCUAUUACCACUUUGCCAACCUUGGUUAGGGAAGGAUGUCUUCACUGAAAGAACAAGUCGGGAGAUGUUGAAUAUUUUGGUAGGAAACUAUGAGUUGUCAAGCAAAGAAAAUCUGCUAGUGGUGAAAAAUCAAAACUUAUUAGGAAGUUACAAGUUAAAACUUAUUAUAAGCCUUGUUAUAACUAACAAAAGAUAAACUUAAAACGUUUUUGCUUUGUUUUCAAUUGUGUGUUUAAGUUAAUGGUUAAGAGUUCAGGUUUUGGAGAUAAACUACUUGAGUUUAAAUCCCAGCUUCAUCACUUACUAGUUGUGUGUCUUUGGCAAGUUACUUCAACUUUUCACACAUCUCUGGACUAUUCUUAUGGAGAGAGUAACAGACUCUACUUCAUAAAGUUUCUGUCAAGAAGUAAUAAGAAUGUACUUAGGUCCAGUGGCUAAGACUCCACAUUCCCAAUGCAGGGGGCCUAGGUUCGAUCACUAGUCAGGGAAAUAGAUCCCCUGUACCACACACACACACACACACAAAACAGAACACCCUUAGGACAUAUUAAUAGAAGUACUCAUGAAGAUCUGACAUAAAAGAAUUUUUUUUCAAUCUUCAAAAUAAACUAAACUCAGAAAGUUAUGAGGGUGACAUCCAAAGCCACUGAAACCAUACAAACUCAAAACUUCUAGAUUAUCUGACCCAAAAUCCUGUUUUACAGAUGCUCAAACAGGCUGAAAAGUAAUCUAUUGAUCAAAGGUAGAGUUAGGAACUAACUAAGCCAAUUCUCUUCUUGUGACUCCAAAUUGUGAGUGCACUAUUUCUUUUUCCCUAAUCUUUCGCCUUAACCACAGAGCCUGUCCUGUCUACCCUACAUGGCUCUAGAAAUUCCUCUGAAUACACAAGCAAAUAGAGAUGAAUUCAUUCAUAUCAAAUUGUGAUCUUGUAGCCAAAGUGAUGAGAAUCACCAGAUCACUGGAAUUUUUCAGCUGGGCUUCCUUAAAAGGACAGAAUAGAGGCCUUUUUUUCCUGUUAAGAGUUCUAACUAUGUCAUUUCCACCAAAUAGAACAGGGCAGCCAGGUAGCUUUAGGUGGAAAAAAAAGUAGUUAUACUUGAAAAUCAGCAUAAAAAGAAUGCUGCUACUGACCCAACCUCCAGUAGGAGACAUGUUAGAAUAGUAAUUACUGUAUGAAGAAAAUUAUCUCACUUUAAAAUUUUACAGGAUUUAUGGUGCCAGUUGAAAAUGAAUUUUAUUUACAAAAGCCAGUUGACUCAACAUAAAAUAGAAGGAAGUUAAACUGUCUUUACCUUUGCAUAUUGUAUUACCUUAUUUCCAGAAUAUAAUAUGGGAGAUAGUGAAGGACAGGGAAGCCUGGCACGCUGCAGUUCAUGGGGUCACAAAGAGUCGGAUACAACAAUAAAGGUUUUCAUAAUUACUUCCUAUUUCCUUUAAAAUGUGAUCAUAACUAGUUAAUCAAGUUUUUAAUUAUUUGAUAAAUUAAUUCACGGCAAAGUAUAAAUCACAGAAAAUGCUUUGUUCUCCUCCUUGAAGUAUGUAUCUUAAAUACUUAAAUAUCUGCUGACUUAGAAAACAAAAUAAAAUUUCAUUAUCAUAAGGUCAUAGGUCAGGAGGUGGAGUUUCCUGCAGGGACAUUUACCUGCGAAAUCACAUAUGUGGGCCUCUACCUCUACAUUAGGACCACCCAGGGCAAAUCCAAGACACAGGUUUCAUAUUCUGACCAACUGACCUAACACAUCCUCUCUAGAAAUAAAAGUAAGCAAAAUGUUCCUUAGAAAUCCCAUCAUCUUUUUAGUCCUGAAAGCCUUAGAAUAAAAAUCUUCCUCUUUUUUUUUAUGUGUGUGUGUUUGGUUUUAGGUGGCUUAUUCACACUUCUAAAGGGAAAAUCGCAGGUAUAAAGAACAGUAAAUCAAACUCUAUGGACUUGAGAUUCUAAUUACUGAAAUUUCAAGGUCCAAACAAUGGAAACUCACAAUGGCACUUUAUGAAUCAUAAAACAACUCUCCAUGUGAGCUCUCACACUAUUUUACUCUGUUCAACUCUUUAGUUUUCCUUGUAGUACUGUUCUGCCUGACUUGUCAUAAAUUUACUGAUUACUUCAAUGUUCUAAUCCUAAAGUUAAGAAAGAAGAACAAGGAUACACUCUCUUCUUUUGUACUCACAGAAGAAUUAGUCACAAGAAGUCUUUAUUGGCUGACUUACCUUUAUUGUAGCUGAUUCUGCAUGAAAUGGGCGUGACUCUCUCUCCAAAGAUAAAUCUGGAACUCUUGACUCUUCAUGAAUCCCCAACUCUUCACCAGCAGCAUUUAUGCUUUGAGUGACUCUAUCCUGACUGGUGUCAUGCCUCCUUCACAAUUAUUCAUCCUUUAAGAGUCAGCUCACCAUAUCACUCCACCCCAACCUCACCGUCCAAAGCGUGAGUUCACUACUCUCUUCCCUCUGUUUGCUUCAUACCAUGCAGAGUUCUACCAUUGCAUCAAUAAGUUUAUGUUAGUUAUAGCUAUACUAUUUCAUAGGCAUCUAUCUUUGUUUCUUGGAUUGCUUAUCUGUAUUGCCAAUAAAAUACAAAUUAAAUGCUUGGCGAACAAACUCAGUUUGAAUAAAUGAAGAAACAAAUGAAUAUAACCAAACCAGAAAACAAUUUCCUCCUUUUUUCACCCUUCUUACGUUACUGACCUCGAUGUAUGUCAUAAAUUUUCCCUUUAUCCAAGUAACCUUUUUUUUUUAACUGAAGUACAGUUGAUGUGUUAUAUAAGUUAUAGGUAUACUCUACAGUGAUUCAUAAUUUUUAAAAGUUAUGCUCCAUUUAUAGCUAUUAUAAAAUAUUGGUUAUAUUCUCUGUUACACAUACGCUUUAUUAAUCAAUGUCGUAUGAGUAAGCCUCCCAGCCUUGAUAACCAUCUCACUUGUUGGAACAGCCGCACAUUUCUGUUCCUUGCUUCUAAGGCAUGUCGUAGGAGAGCAGCAGAUUCAGCAUGCACCUCUUAGAUGUUAUUUCUAACACAUACCCUCAUUGGGAUUUUCAAUGGAAUUAAAUGGUCAGUGAUCUAUCAAACCAUCAGCCAUUUAUACCAUGAUGAUUUAUAAAGUGAUUUUUAAAUGCUGGAGUGGGUGGGGAGUAAGGAAGAGGCAAUGGUAGAAAGGGGACACAUUAAUUUUUGUUGAUCUUUAUGAAGGCUUUUUUUAAAAAUAACAUUUUUGUUUUAGAUAAUACUAAGAGAUGAUUCUAAUAAGCUAAUAAUCACUUUUGUGUACAUGUGAAACAAAAUAUGCUGGGAAAUAACAACACAGAUAUUUUGAAUAUAUAUAAAUGUUAAAGCCAGUUAUUUGCACAAAGUACAUUUUUUAACUGAUGUAUUACAAGUAUGUCUGAAGAAAAUUAAGUCUUAGGAAAAGUACAUUUACCAUAAUGUUCAACUAAUUUAGAGGGAGAAAAACCCUGUAAGUAAUCUUUCAUAUCUUGUUAAUUCAUUUUAAAGCAAUCAGCAUGUCAUUGGUAAAGGCAUUUGAUGUUGUACAAAGAGAUUUGUGAAAUAGAUUGACUCUCAUGCCAGCAGAAAGAAGUCAGGAGUGAGAGAGUGAGCUGUGUAUGAUCUAACUUCCAAGUGCCUUCAGCUCACUGAGUCAUAGGUUUCAGUCGUAGGUUUUCAAAGAGGAGCUAAUUCAAGAAUGCCAUCCAAUGGCACUGGAUUGUACAUCUUCUCUCAAAGCCUUGCAAUACAUGUCUUACAGAGGAGAAUCAUCCUUAAAUUGCCUUUGACAGCCUCCAGGGGAGAGUAAAUAAUCCAACAGAAAUACAAUUUGCAUUAGCUUUUCUCAUUCUGGAAGCUACAAUUAUCUUCAUUACUAAACAGAGAUCAAAUUCUAGAUAAUGAGGCAUAAAUACUUGCCUAUAGGACUCAGUUGCAAGAGCACUCAUUUUGGGUAGGACUUACACUUCUUGGCCUUUUGGCUAAGAUCAAGUGGUGGCUCAGACCAAAAGUGUCUGUCUACAAUGUGGGAGACCUGGGUUCGA